UAGGGGAGACUGGAAUUCCUGGUGUAGCGGUGAAAUGCGCAGAUAUCAGGAGGAACACCAAUGGCGAAGGCAGGUCUCUGGGCAGUAACUGACGCUGAGGAGCGAAAGCAUGGGUAGCGAACAGGAUUAGAUACCCUGGUAGUCCAUGCCGUAAACGGUGGGCGCUAGGUGUAGGGGUCUUCCACGACUUCUGUGCCGCAGCUAACGCAUUAAGCGCCCCGCCUGGGGAGUACGGCCGCAAGGCUAAAACUCAAAGGAAUUGACGGGGACCCGCACAAGCGGUGGAGCAUGUGGUUUAAUUCGACGCAACGCGAAGAACCUUACCAGGAUUUGACAUCCCACUAACGAAACAGAGAUGUAUUAGGUGCCCUUCGGGGAAAGUGGAGACAGGUGGUGCAUGGUUGUCGUCAGCUCGUGUCGUGAGAUGUUGGGUUAAGUCCCGCAACGAGCGCAACCCUUAUUGUUAGUUGCUACGCAAGAGCACUCUAGCGAGACUGCCGUUGACAAAACGGAGGAAGGUGGGGAUGACGUCAAAUCAUCAUGCCCCUUAUGUUCUGGGCUACACACGUGCUACAAUGGCCGGUACAAAGAGAAGCAAGACCGCGAGGNGNAGCAAAACUCAAAAGCCGGUUCCAGUUCGGAUUGCAGGCUGCAACUCGCCUGCAUGAAGUCGGAGUUGCUAGUAAUCGCGGAUCAGAAUGCCGCGGUGAAUGCGUUCCCGGGUCUUGUACACACCGCCCGUCACACCAUGGAAGUUGGGGGCGCCCAAAGUUGGCAGAUAAAUAUGCUACCUAAGGUGAAACCAAUGACUGGGGUGAAGUCGUAACAAGGUAACC
rnacentral:rRNA from 1 species